GACCCCUUUGCCCCCCAGCUGCCUCUCUCCCUCCCAGAGGCUUCCCUGGAUGAGAGAGAAGGAGCUGUGGGGCAGAGUGGGG